AAGAGACCACAUCCUCAAUUCGUUCAUCUCAUCUCCAUCUCACGGUGUGUACCCUCAAUCCCCGGAAUAGAACGAUCCCUAUUUGCUUAUACUACUAACGAUAUUUCAGGGUUAAAUUGCGCGCUUGCUUUUUAGCGCGUCAAGAAGUUAGGAGUGUAUUUAAAAUUUCUCAACUACAUAUUCAAUCUCAAUGACAAGAAAGUAAGAGCAUCUCCAACAACUUCCCUAUAAUUUCUCUAUUAUAGGGAAGCAAAAAUUAAACUUUUCAAAAAAAAUUAUGCUCAAACUCCAACAGAUUCUCUAUUUUACAGAUUUCAUAAGUCUUCCCUAAAAUUUUACAAAUUGCUAUAAAUAUAGGGAAUUUGGUUUUCUCUCUCAUCACUAUCUCUAUUUUAGGGAUAAUUAUAGGGAAUCUGUUUGAGCAAAAUAGCCAAAUUUUUUCCUAAAAUUGAAAAAAAUCAAGAUACGAGGAAGUUGUUCGAGUUGCUUUAAGAAACAAGUUGUCACUUGUCAAACACAAAGCGAUGGUCACACUCCAUAUCAGUAAAGGCCUUCAUGUUCGUGCCUUUCCAAGAGUUUGAGCAUGCAAGAAAAUUAUAUUAGAUGUCUUGUUUUAAACAUCUUUCACUUGCCAAUUGAUGUUAAUCAUUGAACCUGAAAGAGGCUAGCCUUUUCAGAUCCAUGUAAUUUUGUUGUUGCUUCUUUGAUGCAUUAGACUUGUGGUCAACAACUUGUAGUUGAGGCAUCAUUUUGGUAAGUUGUAUUACAAUAUAAAGAGGAUUGCAAUAGAAUCAUUAUCUCCUUAGUAAUUCUCAUUUUUCAUUUUUGAAGAUAAAUACGUAAUAUCCGGACAUCAUAUCCUCAUAUCCCAUACAAAAUUUGCAACUCUAAAAAUAAAUUAAAGGGUCUAAAGGCUACAAAUCUUUCAGGUCCUUCUUGCGGAAUUAGGUCUAUGUGCCCUGCGUAGAAGAGUACAAAGCUUGCAGCUAACUUAUUUAGAUUUAAAAGUUCUCAUCAUUAAUCAUGUGCUUGUCACACUAGUUUAGUCGUUCAGACAACAAGUAAUAGUUCCCUUUCAUAUCAUGGCCUAAAUAGCUUUAAAAAUUAAAAAUGUUUCACCAAGUCGUUGGGUGAAAGAAAGAAAAUUUACUAUAUACUAAAGCGCCUGCACUAUUCAUUUUACUGUUCAUCUUGAGGGUGAGAAAUGACAGUUUUGCCCUCUAUUUUCCCUCAACUUACUACGCUGCCAUCUUUGUACGAAUAUAUGUUUUUAGUUGUUCGGGCUUCCACCGACUUCAACCUUCGUCCCAUCGACUGUAAUACCCAAAUCGCCGAUCCCAAUCGUGCCACCAUCUUCUACAGCCGUAUAGGCGAGAUUGAGAGAGUUCGGUUCGUUGCUUUUGAUCUGUGGAUUUGGAAUUCCUUUCUUUGUUUCUGCUCAUUAUCUCCUCUAAUUUCAGAUUAACAUUGACUUCAAGUCGUUUCCAUUUGAACAGGGUAUGAAGUUAGAUAUGUACUGCCUUUCUUUUGUUUAACUUCAGUUCAGUUGGUUGACUAGCACAGUUGGUUGGUGAGAGAAACAUUGGAAAAGGUCAAUACUCUCAGGAUAAUUUCUCUUUGAAUACUAAAGACUCUUCCAGUGGUUACUGAAAGUCCAGCUGAUCAACUGUUUAAGUUAGGAUGAAAGAGGCGAAUGCGAAGAUGGUACAAGUAUAAUCGGAGUGUCGCGGCAUUUAACAAGCAAUAAUUCUACUCAACUUGCAGAAAUCGAUGAAAUGAGAGGAGAGAAGAGAUACAAGUAAUGCUGUGGCAGAGUGGCUAACACAGUUUCUAAGGUGUCUCUGAAAUUCAUUUACUUGACUCUUAGGGCAGCUGCUACAACAUUUCUAUUCGUUUACGUUAGCAUUCCCUGCUCCCUGCAACACUUGAUGUUGUCAUUGAAUGUUAUGAUAGGAUGUUAUUGUAAACUGCGAUAAUGUAAACCAAACAAUUUUAUAGAGAAGAAAAUUUGUCUCUUCUUUUAUCAUUGUGAUCAAGAAUCAAGUCUUUUCAUUCAUAUC